UACGAAGGGUGCAAGCGUUAAUCGGAAUUACUGGGCGUAAAGCGCGCGUAGGUGAUUCGUUAAGUUGGAUGUGAAAGCCCCGGGCUCAACCUGGGAACUGCAUCCAAAACUGGCGAGCUAGAGUACGGUAGAGGGUGGUGGAAUUUCCUGUGUAGCGGUGAAAUGCGUAGAUAUAGGAAGGAACACCAGUGGCGAAGGCGACCACCUGGACUGAUACUGACACUGAGGUGCGAAAGCGUGGGGAGCAAACAGG
rnacentral:rRNA from 1 species